UCCCUGGUAGCUCAGUGGGUUGAGUAUCCAGCAUUGUCACUGCUGUGGUGCAGGUUUGAUUCCUGGCUACAGAA
rnacentral:tRNA from 1 species